rnacentral:rRNA from 1 species
UGGGGAAUAUUGGACAAUGGGCGAAAGCCUGAUCCAGCCAUGCCGCGUGUGUGAAGAAGGUCUUCGGAUUGUAAAGCACUUUAAGUUGGGAGGAAGGGCAUUAACCUAAUACGUUAGUGUUUUGACGUUACCGACAGAAUAAGCACCGGCUAACUCUGUGCCAGCAGCCGCGGUAAUACAGAGGGUGCAAGCGUUAAUCGGAAUUACUGGGCGUAAAGCGCGCGUAGGUGGUUUGUUAAGUGUGAUGUGAAAUCCCCGGGCUCAACCUGGGAACUGCAUUCAAAACUGACUGACUAGAGUAUGGUAGAGGGUGGUGGAAUUUCCUGUGUAGCGGUGAAAUGCGUAGAUAUAGGAAGGAACACCAGUGGCGAAGGCGACCACCUGGACUAAUACUGACACUGAGGUGCGAAAGCGUGGGGAGCAAACA